UACGGAGGCUGCGAGCGUUAAUCGGAAUUACUGGGCGUAAAGGGUGCGUAGGUGGUUUGAUAAGUUAUCUGUGAAAGCCCUGGGCUCAACCUGGGAAGGCCAGAUAAGACUGUUAGACUCGAGUAUGGGAGAGGGUAGUGGAAUUUCCGGUGUAGCGGUGAAAUGCGUAGAGAUCGGAAGGAACACAAGUGGCGAAGGCGGCUACCUGGCCUAAUACUGACACUGAGGCACGAAAGCGUGGGGAGCAAACAGG
rnacentral:rRNA from 1 species